AUAUUGAACCCAUAUCCAGAAGAAGAAUCCAAUCUCAAAAGCGUUUUGGAAAAGUAUAAAGUGAAUCAAGAAGAGAACAAUACGGGGACGAUGAAACCAAAAGUGAUCAUCGGACGGUUGGACUACUAGAUCACCUUCGAUUGCUACAUGCUUCUCUGCAACCUCAUGAGCCAGCUGGGUUAUCACAUGUUCCAACUUCGUUCCCACAGCGAGCAGAAGAAUGAAAGGAAUGAAUGCUAUCCAGAA
rnacentral:misc_RNA from 1 species